rnacentral:rRNA from 1 species
AACGAACGCUGGCGGCAGGCUUAACACAUGCAAGUUGAACGGGAUUUGAUUGUAGCUUGCUAUAAUUAAUGAGAGUAGCGCACUGGUGAGUAACACGUGGGAACAUACCUUGAAGUGGGGGACAACAGUUGGAAACGACUGCUAAUACCGCAUAAUCCCUGAGGGGGAAAGAUUUAUUGCUUUAAGAUUGGCCCGCGGAAGAUUAGGUAGUUGGUGGGGUAAAGGCCUACCAAGCCGACGAUCUAUAGCUGGUCUGAGAGGACGAACAGCCACAUUGGAACUGAGACACGGUCCAGACUCCUACGGGAGGCAGCAGUGAGGAAUAUUGGGCAAUGGAGGCAACUCUGACCCAGCCAUGCCGCGUGAGUGAUGAAGGUUUUCGAAUUGUAAAGCUCUUUCGGAUGUGAAGAUGAUGACGGUAGCAUCUAAAGAAGCCCCGGCAAACUUCGUG